ACGGGUCCUCCUGUACCGGCCUCCCAGAGUAAAAGACGUCGCGCAGGCCCUUGACUGGGAUUGUGAAGCCUCCUUGCUUUAAAGCUCUUCAAGACUGAAGCAGUGAAUCCUGGAAUCCUCCUUCGCAGUCCAACAGCCAAGGAAUGAAUUAUUCUUGGAAUGACACCGUUCAUAAUUAUAAGAAAAAGACUGAUGAAUGAAAAAUAAAUGUCUUUACUUGUCUUCAGGAGAAAGAUGGAAAUACUCCGAAGACUACUGCAUUGCCUGCAAGUCCUUCAGCAACUGAAACCACUUUUCUGUGCCCUUCUUUCUUGACCACCUCUCCUUAUGCUCC
rnacentral:lncRNA from 1 species